GACGAACGCUGGCGGCGUGCUUAACACAUGCAAGUCGAGCGGAGCGGCGAACGGGUGAGUAACGCGUGAGUAACUGCCCCCCUCUCUGGGAUAACAGUUGGAAACGGCUGCUAAUACCGGAUAGUGGGGGCUGACUCGCGUCAUAUCAGCUUGUUGGUGGGGUAGUGGACUACCAAGGCGACGACGGGAAGCCGGCCUGAGAGGGUGACCGGCCACAUUGGGCUGAGAUACGGCCCAAACUCCUACGGUAGGCAGUAGUGAGGAAUGUUGCACAAAGGGGGAAGGCCUGAUGCAGCGACGCCGCGUGCGGGAGGACGGCCUUCGGGUUGUAAACGGCUUUCAGACAUGACGCGGUAGUGGCAGAAGAAGCACCGGCUAACUACGUGCCAGCAGCCGCGGUAAUUC
rnacentral:rRNA from 1 species